rnacentral:rRNA from 1 species
UACGAGGGGGGCGAGCGUUGUUCGGAAUUAUUGGGCGUAAAGGGUGCGUAGGCGGUUGUUUAAUUCUGUCGUGAAAUCCCCGGGCUCAACCUGGGAAUGGCGAUGGAUACUGGGCAGCUAGAGUGUGUCAGAGGAUGGUGGAAUUCCCGGUGUAGCGGUGAAAUGCGUAGAGAUCGGGAGGAACAUCAGUGGCGAAGGCGGCCAUCUGGGACAACACUGACGCUGAAGCACGAAAGCGUGGGGAGCAAACAGG